rnacentral:rRNA from 1 species
GUCCACCCGUAAACGUUGGGAACUAGUUGUGGGUCCAUUCCACGGAUUCCGUGACGCAGCUAACGCAUUAAGUUCCCCGCCUGGGGAGUACGGCCGCAAGGCUAAAACUCAAAGGAAUUGACGGGACCCGCACAAGCGGCGGAGCAUGCGGAUUAAUUCGAUGCAACGCGAAGAACCUUACCAAGGCUUGACAUAUACGAGAACGGGCCAGAAAUGGUCAAACUCUUUGGACACUCGUAAACAGGUGGUGCAUGGUUGUCGU